AGUUUUUGUUGUUGUUGUUGUGGAUCACUGAUCUUUGAUAGGAAAAAUACCCACCCUCCUCCCUACAAGUUGUUCUCAACGUUCUUUUUAAGAGACGUGGUAAAGCAAGCUUACAGGGAAAACCCAAAUGGCAGUAUCAUGAAAUUAACAUUGCCCUAAGAGGCCUAAGCAGAAACUCUAUCUUUUUUCAUACCUUCUUUAAUCCUUAGCCACACUAUCUUCUCUAGAGUUGCAGUCUCAUCUUGCCGUAGCAGCAACAUGUCCUCAAAAAAAACCUUAAGAGUCCCUGCUAACCAUGUUUUUGGUUCAUUAGGUAUGUAGUGUGUUCCCAGGCUAGGGAUCAAAUUGGAGCUAUAGCUGCCAGCCUACACCACAGCAACACAGGAUCCGAGCCACAUCUGCAACCUAUGCCAUAGCUCAAGGCAAUGCCAGAUCCUUAACCCACUGAGUGAGGCCAAGGGAUCAAACCCGCAAUCUCAUGGUUCCUAGUCAGAUUUGUUUCCGCUGCACCACAACAGGAACUCCAGAGAAAUUAAAUUUCUAGUUAACUUAAUGAAAAAGAAAAAGACACUUUCUUCUUAUGUAAUUUUCCCCAUAACUGGUUUUGGUUUUGGGUUUUUUUUUUUCUCUAUUUAACAUCAUUGGCAGCUAUGCCUUAUCUUGCCUUAGGAAGUGGAAGUGGUUGGCUUUGUUUUUGCUAUUUUUUAUGGCAACAACUAUAGCUUAUCAGAUUUCUCAUCAAAGAAAAGGUAUGGUGCAAAUGUUUUGAACAUCAUGGAAAAUGAAGGAUAAAAUACUUAGUAUCUAAACACAGUAUUAAGAAAGUUAAAUUCUCAUUUAUGGUUUUACUGUAUUCCCCCCCUUUGUUUUGGCCCUACAGAAUGUGGAAUUUCCCAGGCCAGGGAUCGAACCUGCACCACAGCCUGAACUGCUGCAGUGACAAUGCUGGAUCCUUAACCCCCUGUGCCACAAGAGAACACCUAUAUUCCCUUUGAAAUUUCCCCCAAUUUUUGCUAACAUCAGUGUUUGAGAUUUUCUUUAAUUCUCUCCAAUUAAUCCCCCAAAAUUGAUUUUUGUAUUUUACCUCUUGAUCAAAAUUUUACUCAGAUGUAUGCCAUCUACAGAGACAGGGAAUUUAAGUUUGAUUUCCCAUGGCUGGCAAAUUUCAUUAGUUUAAUUGAAUUCCUUAUUCCAUGGCUUUCAGAUGUAAUAAAAUAUAACAGAAGCUACUAUCAUUGCCACAAAUUGAGAAGUGAAAAGACAUUUUUAAGGAAAGGUGUUUUAUUUUGGCUGUUUUAAAUAAACAUGCUGUCCCAUCUUGUGGCAGCAGCUAGCAUAUUGCUCUGUACAAGGUACUCAACAAUGUCACCAGAAACUUUAAACAAAAAAAUAGAUUUUAAGUAUGAAGUGUAGAAAUUUUUAACCUGUAACUUGAAUUAAUCAUUUUCUGUACUUCAUGGCCCACUAUUGUCAUUAGUUCAUACACUGCCCUUCUUUUAUUUUUUCAUUAUGGAACCAUUCUCUUCCAUUACAAUGGGCAACUCUUUUUAAUAAGUUUGAUAAAUAUAGCUGAAAUUAUAUUUUUGAAUACUUGCAGUUUAACUUGUCUAAAUCUGCAACUGUGAUUUUAAAAUAUUGAAUUCCAUUGGUUAAAAUGAAAAUGAAUACAAACUUUAGUAUUUAUCUGUAAAAAAUAACUUCAAAGACUAAUUCAAGAACUAGCUGAUAUUCUCAUUGAUUUGCAUCCAUCCCCCCAAAAGUUUUUUUUCCUUUUGGGGAAAUAUGUGGCUUAGUGAAAAAGAAGUAUAAAUAAAUGUUAUAACUUUGCAUUUCAUUUAAAAAUGACAAGUUAUAAAUAUAAAAAAACAUUUUAUAAAUUAUAUAUGCUGUGGUUAGGUGAAGUGUUAUAUCAUAGUAAAAUUUUAUAUUUAUAUUAUUUUUGAACAUUGUGUUAGGAAAUAAAAAACUGCAACAUGUAGUAUCCAGUGAGGAGGAAAACAUCCAGUCUCACUAGAAAUAAAAGAAAUGCAAAGUAAAACUACUAGUAAUAAUAUUUCACCUAUCAAGUUGAUAAAGAUUAAAAAGAUGAAUGGUAUGGGUUUAAGGAAACAUUGUAUGAAAUAAGAAUACACUAAAGUUAGAAGUAAAAUUUGUUUUAUCCUCAAAACAGAACAGACCUGAAGAUUUCAAGGGGAAGGGGAGGGAGUGGGAUGGAGUAGGAGUUUGGGGUUGGUAGAUGCAAACUAUUUCUACAGCACAGGGAACUAUAUCCAGGCUCUUGGGAUAGACCAUGAUGGAAGAUAAUAUAAGAAAAAGAAUGUGUGUGUAUAUAUAUAUAUGCCUGGGUCAUUUUGCUGUACAGCAGAAAUUGGUACAACAUUGUAAAUCAAUUAUAUUCUAAUUUUUAAAAAUCUAAAACAAGUAAAAUUGGUUCAGUCUUUCUAGAGGAAAAUCUGGUAUCACACCUCAUGGGUAGAGACUACUAUUGCGCCUCACUUUAAAGAUAUAAAAACUGCGCAGAGAGGUAAAGUAAAAUAUUGAAAGUAUUACAGCUAGUAAGUUCCAGAGGUGAGAUUCAAACCCAUGCUUAAAGCCUGAGUUCUUAACCACCACGCUAGUGUUGAUACAUAAAAUGAAUUCAGUGGAUUGUGAACCAGAUAAAAUAGUAUACAAAUUGUUAGAAUACAUCACAGAUGGUAUGAAUGUCAUUUUAUGGAACAUUAGUUUAUAUGUACUAGGUCAAGAAAUAAAAUAUUACUCUUACUGUGGAUCACAAUCAAGGUAACAGCACUAACCCAGCCUGCUCAACUCUGUCUCAGGGCCUCUGCCUGCACUCUUGUCCCCAGAUCAUCCCCUGGCAGAUCUUCAUAGCAUUAGCUUAGCUAUAACCUCUCAGAGAUCCCAGCUCUGCCUAAUUAAUGUAUAGAAAGAACCCCCAAUCCACCCCAUCCUCCUCUCUUCCAUGACUGAUUCCCUCAUAGCUCUUAUGCUAUUUGAAAUUAUUUUAUUUGUUAUUUAACAUAUUUAUUCUCUGCCACCUCCCACUUUCUGCUUUCCCUUCCACAGGCUCACACUAAAUCAUCUCCAUGAGAGCAAAGACUGAAUAUACAAAUGCUUUGGACAGUUAUUUUGGCAUCUUUGAAGUAGAUGAGUCUCUAAAAAUGUCUAUCUAAAAUGACACUGCUAAUAAAAACUCAGUUGAUGUUUUUGCUGAAGCAGUGCAUCUUCCCAAGGAAACUUUCAUGACAAAAAUUAGUUUUGAAGAGAGAGGAUUUUGUGUAUAACAGGAACAUACUCUAUUGUCAGAAUCAA
rnacentral:lncRNA from 1 species